rnacentral:rRNA from 1 species
UACAGAGGGUGCAAGCGUUACUCGGAAUUACUGGGCGUAAAGCGAGCGUAGUCGGUUAUCUAAGUCGGAUGUGAAAUCCCCGGGCUCAACCUGGGAAUUGCAUUCGAUACUGGAUAGCUAGAGUUCGGCAGAGGGAAGCGGAAUUUCGGGUGUAGCGGUGAAAUGCGUAGAUAUCCGAAGGAACAUCAGUGGCGAAGGCGGCUUCCUGGACCAGAACUGACGAUCAGGCUCGAAAGCGUGGGGAGCAAACAGG